rnacentral:rRNA from 1 species
CUACGGGUGGCUCCAGUGGGGAAUAUUGCACAAUGGGGGGAACCCUGAUGCAGCAACGCCGCGUGGAGGAUGACACAUUUCGGUGCGUAAACUCCUUUUAUAUAAGAAGAUAAUGACGGUAUUAUAUGAAUAAGCACCGGCUAACUCCGUGCCAGCAGCCGCGGUAAUACGGGGGGUGCAAGCGUUACUCGGAAUCACUGGUGCGUAAAGAGCAUGUAGGCUGGUUUGUAAGUUGGAAGUGAAAUCCUAUGGCUUAACCAUAGAACUGCUUCCAAAACUACUUACCUAGAGUAUGGGAGAGGUAGAUGGAAUUUCUGGUGUAGGGGUAAAAUCCGUAGAGAUCAGAAGGAAUACCGAUUGCGAAGGCGAUCUACUGGAACAUUACUGACGCUCAGAUGCGAAAGCGUGGGGAGCAAACAGGAUUAGAUACCCUGGUAGUC